rnacentral:rRNA from 1 species
AAGUCGUAACAAGGUUUCUAUUGAACAAGUCCUUCCGUGGGUAACACUUGCCGAAGCCUUAGCAGCCCGAAAGGGUGUCCCUCGACGACUGGAAAAAAUCAGUGGGACGUAAUUGCUAGUCCACCUCAGGUGGGCAACACUGUCAAAUUGCGGGAAACCCCUAAAGACCUUGACACCAAGCAUCCACUAGAAAUGGUGGUGUGGCCGAGCUAAUUGCCAUGGGUAUGGUAACAGUUCAAGGUAUGAACCUGAAGAUCAGGUGAAAUGGGCAAUCUGCAGCCAAGUCCUAAGGCCUUCUCGUCUUUAGACGGUGGCUAUGGAUGCUGUUCACAGGCCAAAUGGCAGUGGGUGUGGUGCCUUAACUGGCUAUUACCUCGCUUAAGAUAUGGUCGGUCCCCGGAUGAGAAUUCGGGGGUGAGUUACCCCUUAACAAAGUAACAAUAUAAAUGUUCCGUAGGUGAACCUGCGGAAGGAUCAUUACAGAGAAUGACACACUUAGUGUGUCACCUCCAACCCCUUGUACAAUCAACUCUCAAGUUGCUUUGGUGCUCUGUUGCCAGAGGCUUUAUACAAUCAUUUUUAUCAAUGUUGUCUGAGUAAAAAAUAUAAAUCGUUGAAACUUUCAACAACGGAUCUCUUGGNUCCCGCAUCGAUGAAGAACGCAGCGAAAUGCGAUAAGUAAUGUGAAUUGCAGAAUUCAGUGAAUCAUCGAAUCUUUGAACGCACAUUGNGCCCUUUGGUAUUCCGAAGNNCAUGCCUGUUCGAGCGUCAUUGCAAAAUCUCAAGCCUAGCUUGGUAUUGGGUUUUUCGUCCCUAGGGACGGGCNUCAAAGUUAGNGNGNUGCCACUGAGCCUCAAGCGUAGCAGAAAUUCCUCGCUUUGGAGAAUCAGUUUUUGGUCACUAGCCUUACACCCAACUUAACAAGUUUGACCUCGGAUCAGGUAGGGAUACCCGCUGAACUUAAGCAUAUCAAUAAGCGGAGGAAAAGAAACCAAUAGGGAUUGCCUCAGUAACGGCGAGUGAAGCGGCAAGAGCUCAAAUUUGAAAUCUGGCUUCUUCGGAGCCCGAGUUGUAAUUUGUAGAGGAUGCUUCGGGUUUGGCCCCGGCCUAAGUUCCUUGGAACAGGACGUCACAGAGGGUGAGAAUCCCGUAUGUGGCUGGAGGUCUAUGCCCAUGUGAAGCUCCUUCGACGAGUCGAGUUGUUUGGGAAUGCAGCUCAAAAUGGGUGGUAAAUUUCAUCUAAAGCUAAAUACCGGCGGGAGACCGAUAGCGCACAAGUAGAGUGAUCGAAAGAUGAAAAGCACUUUGGGAAGAGAGUUAAAAAGUACGUGAAAUUGUUGAAAGGGAAGCGCUUGCGACCAGACUUGCCCGCAGUUGAUCAACUGGUGUUCUCACCGGUGCACUUUGCUGUGGUCAGGCCAGCAUCGGUUUGGGUGGCUGGAGAAAGGCCCUGGGAAUGUGACUCCCUUCGGGGAGUGUUAUAGCCCGGGGUGUCAUGCAGCCAGCCUGGACUGAGGACCGCGCUUCGGCUAGGAUGCUGGCGUAAUGGUUGUAAGCGACC